GACGAACGCUGGCGGCGUGCCUAAUACAUGCAAGUUGAGCGCUGAAGGUUGGUACUUGUACCAACUGGAUGAGCAGCGAACGGGUGAGUAACGCGUGGGGAAUCUGCCUUUGAGCGGGGGACAACAUUUGGAAACGAAUGCUAAUACCGCAUAAAAACUUUAAACACAAGUUUUAAGUUUGAAAGAUGCAAUUGCAUCACUCAAAGAUGAUCCCGCGUUGUAUUAGCUAGUUGGUGAGGUAAAGGCUCACCAAGGCGAUGAUACAUAGCCGACCUGAGAGGGUGAUCGGCCACAUUGGGACUGAGACACGGCCCAAAAUCCUAUGGGAGGCAGCAGUAGGGAAUCUUCGGCAAUGGACGAAAGUCUGACCGAGCAACGCCGCGUGAGUGAAGAAGGUUUUCGGAUCGUAAAACUCUGUUGGUAGAGAAGAACGUUGGUGAGAGUGGAAAGCUCAUCAAGUGACGGUAACUACCCAGAAAGGGACGGCUAACUACGUG
rnacentral:rRNA from 1 species